UGCGCAGGGGUACAGAACAUGGCAGUAUGUGGCCAUGAGCAAACAUGUGUUUCAUCUGGCAGCUGCUGUGGACUUUGGGUGCACAUUGAAGCAGUUGCUGAUGGCAUUUUGUUUUGCGUAAAUCUAAACACAACUGAGAGAGA
rnacentral:snoRNA from 1 species